rnacentral:rRNA from 1 species
AGGGCACCACCAGGAGUGGGGCCUGCGGCUUAAUUUGACUCAACACGGGAAAACUCACCCGGCCCGGACACCGCGAGGAUUGACAGAUUGAUAGCUCUUUCAUGAUUCGGUGGAUGGUGGUGCAUGGCCGUUCUUAGUUCGUGGAGCGAUUUGUCUGGUUUAUUCCGAUAACGAGCGAGACUCUAGCCUACUAACUAGUCCGCAUGUUCGCUUGCUGCAUGCUUGGGACUUCUUAGAGGGAUUUUCGGCGUUUCAGCCGCACGAAACUGAGCAAUAACAGGUCUGUGAUGCCCUUAGAUGUCCGGGGCUGCACGCGCGCUACACUGGCGAAAUCAGCGUGCCUGUCCUCUCGCGAAAGCGACUGGUAAACCGGUGAAAAUUCGCCGUGAUUGGGAUCGGAAAUUGCAAUUAUUUUCCGUGAACGAGGAAUUCCAAGUAAGUGCGAGUCAUCAACUCGCGUUGAUUACGUCCCUGCCCUUUGCACACACCGCCCGUCGCUGCCCGAGACUGAGCCAUUUC